UACGAAGGGUGCGAGCGUUGUCCGGAAUCAUUGGGCGUAAAGGGUGCGUAGGCGGCGCGGUAAGUCGGGUGUGAAAUCUCGGAGCUUAACUCCGAAACUGCAUUCGAUACUGCCGUGCUUGAGGACUGGAGAGGAGACUGGAAUUUACGGUGUAGCGGUGAAAUGCGUAGAUAUCGUAAGGAAGACCAGUGGCGAAGGCGGGUCUCUGGACAGUUCCUGACGCUGAGGCACGAAGGUCAGGGGAGCAAACGGG
rnacentral:rRNA from 1 species